GCUUCCGUGGCUCAGGGGUAGAGCAGCUCACUCGUAAUGAGCAGGUCAUCGGUUCAAAUCCGAUCGGAAGCUCCA
rnacentral:tRNA from 1 species